UACGUAGGGGGCUAGCGUUGUCCGGAAUCAUUGGGCGUAAAGAGCGCGUAGGCGGCUAGAUAAGUCCGGUGUGAAAGUCACAGGCUCAACCUGUGAAUGCCGCUGGAAACUGUCUGGCUAGAGUCCGGAAGGGGCGAGUGGAAUUCCCGGUGUAGUGGUGAAAUGCGUAGAUAUCGGGAGGAACACCAGUGGCGAAGGCGACUUCCUGGCCUGUUCUUGACGCUGAGGCGCGAAAGCUAGGGUAGCAAACGGG
rnacentral:rRNA from 1 species